rnacentral:rRNA from 1 species
GAUGAACGCUGGCGGCGUGCCUAACACAUGCAAGUCGAGCGAUUCUCUUCGGAGAAGAGCGGCGGACGGGUGAGUAACGCGUGGGUAACCUGCCCUGUACGCACGGAUAACAUACCGAAAGGUAUACUAAUACGAGAUAAUAUGCUUUUAUCGCAUGGUAGAAGUAUCAAAGCUUUUGCGGUACAGGAUGGACCCGCGUCUGGUUAGCUAGUUGGUAAGGUAACGGCUUACCAAGGCGACGAUCAGUAGCCGACCUGAGAGGGUGAUCGGCCACAUUGAAAAUGAGCCACGGUCCAAACUCCGACGGGAGGCAGCAGUGGGGAAUAUUGCACAAUGGGCGAAAGCCUGAUGCAGCAACGCCGCGUGAGCGAUGAAGGCCUUCGGGUCGUAAAGCUCUGUCCUCAAGGAAGAUAAUGACGGUACUUGAGGAGGAAGCCCCGGCUAACUACGUGCCAGCAGCCGCGGUAAGAC